rnacentral:rRNA from 1 species
GGUUAAGCGACUAAGCGUACACGGUGGAUGCCCUGGCAGUCAGAGGCGAUGAAGGACGUGCUAAUCUGCGAUAAGCGUCGGUAAGGUGAUAUGAACCGUUAUAACCGGCGAUUUCCGAAUGGGGAAACCCAGUGUGAUUCGUCACACUAUCAUUAACUGAAUCCAUAGGUUAAUGAGGCGAACCGGGGGAACUGAAACAUCUAAGUACCCCGAGGAAAAGAAAUCAACCGAGAUUCCCCCAGUAGCGGCGAGCGAACGGGGAGCAGCCCAGAGCCUGAAUCAGUGUGUGUGUUAGUGGAAGCGUCUGGAAAGGCGCGCGAUACAGGGUGACAGCCCCGUACACAAAAAUGCACAUGCUGUGAGCUCGAUGAGUAGGGCGGGACACGUGGUAUCCUGUCUGAAUAUGGGGGGACCAUCCUCCAAGGCUAAAUACUCCUGACUGACCGAUAGUGAACCAGUACCGUGAGGGAAAGGCGAAAAGAACCCCGGCGAGGGGAGUGAAAAAGAACCUGAAACCGUGUACGUACAAGCAGUGGGAGCACAGAGCAAUCUGUGUGACUGCGUACCUUUUGUAUAAUGGGUCAGCGACUUAUAUUCUGUAGCAAGGUUAACCGAAUAGGGGAGCCGAAGGGAAACCGAGUCUUAACUGGGCGUUAAGUUGCAGGGUAUAGACCCGAAACCCGGUGAUCUAGCCAUGGGCAGGUUGAAGGUUGGGUAACACUAACUGGAGGACCGAACCGACUAAUGUUGAAAAAUUAGCGGAUGACUUGUGGCUGGGGGUGAAAGGCCAAUCAAACCGGGAGAUAGCUGGUUCUCCCCGAAAGCUAUUUAGGUAGCGCCUCGUGAAUUCAUCUCCGGGGGUAGAGCACUGUUUCGGCAAGGGGGUCAUCCCGACUUACCAACCCGAUGCAAACUGCGAAUACCGGAGAAUGUUAUCACGGGAGACACACGGCGGGUGCUAACGUCCGUCGUGAAGAGGGAAACAACCCAGACCGCCAGCUAAGGUCCCAAAGUCAUGGUUAAGUGGGAAACGAUGUGGGAAGGCCCAGACAGCCAGGAUGUUGGCUUAGAAGCAGCCAUCAUUUAAAGAAAGCGUAAUAGCUCACUGGUCGAGUCGGCCUGCGCGGAAGAUGUAACGGGGCUAAACCAUGCACCGAAGCUGCGGCAGCGACGCUUAUGCGUUGUUGGGUAGGGGAGCGUUCUGUAAGCCUGCGAAGGUGUGCUGUGAGGCAUGCUGGAGGUAUCAGAAGUGCGAAUGCUGACAUAAGUAACGAUAAAGCGGGUGAAAAGCCCGCUCGCCGGAAGACCAAGGGUUCCUGUCCAACGUUAAUCGGGGCAGGGUGAGUCGACCCCUAAGGCGAGGCCGAAAGGCGUAGUCGAUGGGAAACAGGUUAAUAUUCCUGUACUUGGUGUUACUGCGAAGGGGGGACGGAGAAGGCUAUGUUGGCCGGGCGACGGUUGUCCCGGUUUAAGCGUGUAGGCUGGUUUUCCAGGCAAAUCCGGAAAAUCAAGGCUGAGGCGUGAUGACGAGGCACUACGGUGCUGAAGCAACAAAUGCCCUGCUUCCAGGAAAAGCCUCUAAGCAUCAGGUAACAUCAAAUCGUACCCCAAACCGACACAGGUGGUCAGGUAGAGAAUACCAAGGCGCUUGAGAGAACUCGGGUGAAGGAACUAGGCAAAAUGGUGCCGUAACUUCGGGAGAAGGCACGCUGAUAUGUAGGUGAAGUCCCUCGCGGAUGGAGCUGAAAUCAGUCGAAGAUACCAGCUGGCUGCAACUGUUUAUUAAAAACACAGCACUGUGCAAACACGAAAGUGGACGUAUACGGUGUGACGCCUGCCCGGUGCCGGAAGGUUAAUUGAUGGGGUCAGCGCAAGCGAAGCUCUUGAUCGAAGCCCCGGUAAACGGCGGCCGUAACUAUAACGGUCCUAAGGUAGCGAAAUUCCUUGUCGGGUAAGUUCCGACCUGCACGAAUGGCGUAAUGAUGGCCAGGCUGUCUCCACCCGAGACUCAGUGAAAUUGAACUCGCUGUGAAGAUGCAGUGUACCCGCGGCAAGACGGAAAGACCCCGUGAACCUUUACUAUAGCUUGACACUGAACAUUGAGCCUUGAUGUGUAGGAUAGGUGGGAGGCUUUGAAGUGUGGACGCCAGUCUGCAUGGAGCCGACCUUGAAAUACCACCCUUUAAUGUUUGAUGUUCUAACGUUGACCCGUAAUCCGGGUUGCGGACAGUGUCUGGUGGGUAGUUUGACUGGGGCGGUCUCCUCCUAAAGAGUAACGGAGGAGCACGAAGGUUGGCUAAUCCUGGUCGGACAUCAGGAGGUUAGUGCAAUGGCAUAAGCCAGCUUGACUGCGAGCGUGACGGCGCGAGCAGGUGCGAAAGCAGGUCAUAGUGAUCCGGUGGUUCUGAAUGGAAGGGCCAUCGCUCAACGGAUAAAAGGUACUCCGGGGAUAACAGGCUGAUACCGCCCAAGAGUUCAUAUCGACGGCGGUGUUUGGCACCUCGAUGUCGGCUCAUCACAUCCUGGGGCUGAAGUAGGUCCCAAGGGUAUGGCUGUUCGCCAUUUAAAGUGGUACGCGAGCUGGGUUUAGAACGUCGUGAGACAGUUCGGUCCCUAUCUGCCGUGGGCGCUGGAGAACUGAGGGGGGCUGCUCCUAGUACGAGAGGACCGGAGUGGACGCAUCACUGGUGUUCGGGUUGUCAUGCCAAUGGCACUGCCCGGUAGCUAAAUGCGGAAGAGAUAAGUGCUGAAAGCAUCUAAGCACGAAACUUGCCCCGAGAUGAGUUCUCCCUGACUCCUUGAGAGUCCUGAAGGAACGUUGAAGACGACGACGUUGAUAGGCCGGGUGUGUAAGCGCAGCGAUGCGUUGAGCUAACCGGUACUAAUGAACCGUGAGGCUUAACCUU